GCCUGCAUUUAGAAAAGACCACAGACUGCCUAUCCUCUGGUCAUCCAUAAUGCAGGGCGAGGAGUUGCUGGAAGCCAUUUCCCAUGUUUGAAGGGUCCUCUCCUAUCUCUCUCAAAUGCUGACUUUCACACA